CAAAUACUCCAUCCGUCUCAAAAUUCUUGUCUUAGAUUUGUCUAGAUACAAAUGUAUCUAAUACUAAAACGUGACUUGAUACAUCCGUAUCUAGACAAAUCCAAGACAAGAAUUUUGGGACGGAGGGAGUAAUAA
rnacentral:pre_miRNA from 1 species